AAAAGAUGCUGCUGAACACUUACAGGCAAGUGGGGGUUAACCCUAUUCAUUGCUCUCAUGCGUGUGGUGUAAUUAUUUCCCUUAUCUUAAAUAUCCCCCCCCACUCUACUUAAUAAACCGACCAGCAGGGUGUUAAUAAAAGAAAUAGCUAUUACUAAAGCAUGUUUUUCUUUUAGAAGAAAACAAGUUUCUGAUUUUGGUUUUAUCAGAACCCAGCACCCCCUUAAGGGAGUGGGGUGGGUCUAAAGCAGCUAUUAAAAUUAUGGUUUGGAAAUGAAAUUUGAUUUAAAAAGCAGCAGCCCCAUUGCUUUACAAAGGCAUUUCAGUAAAAUAGUGCUGUUUCAGGUCAUUAUUUGAGCUUUGUGUGCUGCUUUAUUGAAGAUAGCUACUUAAAAUAUUACAGAUAUGAAAUGGAAAACUGUCGAACCUUUUAUUAUUGGAUAUUUGAACAACAAAUACAGGCCUCUACAAGAUAAAAAAUUUGCUUACCCCAUUGGUAAAUGCUUAUUAUUUCUGUAGCACACUAAUACAAUGUUAUUUUUAUAACUUUUUCUUUUUUUUAACUCCACUCUGUGCUACCUGGAAACUUGAGGAACAGUCAUGGUUUUCCCCCUGUCUUCAAGGCUAUCCAGCAACCAGUUCCUUGAUGAUGUAUGAUGUUCAGUGUUACUAGGCACCAAUUUAGAAAAUUCUGGAGUUUAAUGCCUGGUUUUAAGAUUCACUUGUGCAGAAAUUUGUGAGGGAGCAAGAGUGUUGUCAAACAGCUCAGUUGGCUUUUGAGGAGAAUCCUGCUGUGUGCAUAUUCAAACCACCUAUUCCAACCUUUGCUGGCCUGCAGUUUUCAGAAAAGCACCCAAAAUACUGAUGGAUGCCUGACAGGACCUAUAUUCUCUCUUGCCCACGACUGAAAAGC